GCGGACGUAGCUCAGUCGAAAGAGCGCGAGGGUGUCACUCUCGAGGUCGUGGAUUCAACAUCCACCGUUCGCUCCA
rnacentral:tRNA from 1 species